GGGAGCCGGAGGGAAACCGAGUCUUAACCGGGCGUUAAGUUGCAGGGUAUAGACCCGAAACCCGGUGAUCUAGCCAUGGGCAGGUUGAAGGUUGGGUAACACUAACUGGAGGACCGAACCGACUAAUGUUGAAAAAUUAGCGGAUGACCUGUGGCUGGGGGUGAAAGGCCAAUCAAACCGGGAGAUAGCUGGUUCUCCCCGAAAGCUAUUUAGGUAGCGCCUCGUGAAUUCAUCUCCGGGGGUAGAGCACUGUUUCGGCUAGGGGGCCAUCCCGGCUUACCAACCCGAUGCAAACUGCGAAUACCGGAGAAUGUUAUCACGGGAGACACACGGCGGGUGCUAACGUCCGUCGUGAAGAGGGAAACAACCCAGACCGCCAGCUAAGGUCCCAAAGUCAUGGUUAAGUGGGAAACGAUGUGGGAAGGCCCAGACAGCCAGGAUGUUGGCUUAGAAGCAGCCAUCAUUUAAAGAAAGCGUAAUAGCUCACUGGUCGAGUCGGCCUGCGCGGAAGAUGUAACGGGGCUAAACCAUGCACCGAAGCUGCGGCAGCGACACUGUGUGUUGUUGGGUAGGGGAGCGUUCUGUAAGCCUGUGAAGGUGUGUCGUGAGGCAUGCUGGAGGUAUCAGAAGUGCGAAUGCUGACAUAAGUAACGAUAAAGCGGGUGAAAAGCCCGCUCGCCGGAAGACCAAGGGUUCCUGUCCAACGUUAAUCGGGGCAGGGUGAGUCGACCCCUAAGGCGAGGCCGAAAGGCGUAGUCGAUGGGAAACGGGUUAAUAUUCCCGUACUUGGUGUUACUGCGAAGGGGGGACGGAGAAGGCUAUGUUGGCCGGGCGACGGUUGUCCCGGUUUAAGCGUGUAGGUGUGUGUUCCAGGUAAAUCCGGUUCACUUUAACACUGAGGCGUGACGACGAGGCACUACGGUGCUGAAGCAACAAAUGCCCUGCUUCCAGGAAAAGCCUCUAAGCAUCAGGUAACAUCAAAUCGUACCCCAAACCGACACAGGUGGUCAGGUAGAGAAUACCAAGGCGCUUGAGAGAACUCGGGUGAAGGAACUAGGCAAAAUGGUGCCGUAACUUCGGGAGAAGGCACGCUGACACGUAGGUGAAGUGAUUUACUCAUGGAGCUGAAGUCAGUCGAAGAUACCAGCUGGCUGCAACUGUUUAUUAAAAACACAGCACUGUGCAAACACGAAAGUGGACGUAUACGGUGUGACGCCUGCCCGGUGCCGGAAGGUUAAUUGAUGGGGUCAGCGCAAGCGAAGCUCCUGAUCGAAGCCCCGGUAAACGGCGGCCGUAACUAUAACGGUCCUAAGGUAGCGAAAUUCCUUGUCGGGUAAGUUCCGACCUGCACGAAUGGCGUAAUGAUGGCCAGGCUGUCUCCACCCGAGACUCAGUGAAAUUGAACUCGCUGUGAAGAUGCAGUGUACCCGCGGCAAGACGGAAAGACCCCGUGAACCUUUACUAUAGCUUGACACUGAACAUUGAGCCUUGAUGUGUAGGAUAGGUGGGAGGCUUUGAAGUGUGGACGCCAGUCUGCAUGGAGCCGACCUUGAAAUACCACCCUUUAAUGUUUGAUGUUCUAACGUGGACCCGUUACCCGGGUUGCGGACAGUGUCUGGUGGGUAGUUUGACUGGGGCGGUCUCCUCCUAAAGAGUAACGGAGGAGCACGAAGGUUGGCUAAUCCUGGUCGGACAUCAGGAGGUUAGUGCAAUGGCAUAAGCCAGCUUGACUGCGAGCGUGACGGCGCGAGCAGGUGCGAAAGCAGGUCAUAGUGAUCCGGUGGUUCUGAAUGGAAGGGCCAUCGCUCAACGGAUAAAAGGUACUCCGGGGAUAACAGGCUGAUACCGCCCAAGAGUUCAUAUCGACGGCGGUGUUUGGCACCUCGAUGUCGGCUCAUCACAUCCUGGGGCUGAAGUAGGUCCCAAGGGUAUGGCUGUUCGCCAUUUAAAGUGGUACGCGAGCUGGGUUUAGAACGUCGUGAGACAGUUCGGUCCCUAUCUGCCGUGGGCGCUGGAGAACUGAGGGGGGCUGCUCCUAGUACGAGAGGACCGGAGUGGACGCAUCACUGGUGUUCGGGUUGUCAUGCCAAUGGCACUGCCCGGUAGCUAAAUGCGGAAGAGAUAAGUGCUGAAAGCAUCUAAGCACGAAACUUGCCCCGA
rnacentral:rRNA from 2 species